GCGCUGCUGCUGCUCCCCGGCGUAGACCCCGGUUAGCUGGCGGCUCCCUCGGGGCAGUCUGCACCCCGACGCGCGAGCCCCUGCAGCUGGCUUCGUGCUGGAGGGUUUUCCAUCCCGGAGUCCUAACCGGGGAGUCUCUCAGGUUGAGGAAAGGGGAUGAGGAAGCUCUGGCGUGGAGGGAAGACCGUAGUCUUAGAUAACGUGGGUCAACGUGGGCUCUGUGUGGGGCCCGUAGUUAUUUUGCGUAUCUGCAGCUCUCUGCUCUCAUCCCGACAAUGUUUGGAAAUGGGGACGCUCCAGAGACUGCUUUAUAGAGUCAUUUAUAUGUAAACUGACUAAACAAAAUGGUCUGUUCCAGCUAAAUUUUGUUCCUGUCUCCCUAUUAGCUCUACUUCACAGUGUCUGGUGCUAUUUUACACAUAAACCUUACUCUGUUAGCACCUUCUCUGAGACUCUUUAACACAUUUUUGUACUGAUGAUACCCAAAAACAACAGCGUAAUAAGGACGCCCAUACCACACAAUUACGCAUUUGGGCAGGACCUAGAACCAUGACGAUUUAUAAUAUGUGGCAGAGAGGUUAGAGAGAAGCAUCCUGUGGUUGUAGUGAGUAAGAAAUGGUUUCUCUAAGGAAGAGAUUCUAAUCUUGCACAGAAACUAAUCAUAAUGUGAGAUGGUGUUGAGAAACUGAAAAAUCCACUUUGGGCUAGGAGAGAUACAAGAAGACUUUAUGGGAGAGAGAGCUUUGCUGCUGGGCUUUCUAGAAUACAGUUUUAUCUGAUAGCGAGGAGAAAACGAGGAAUAAAUUGCAAAAGAUUUUCAGCGGCUGAAAAAGGAAAUGCCCUGCAAGAUUCACUUUAAGUUUAUAGCCAGCAGACCCACUGCAUUUUCUUAGUUCACUCUCCUGUGACCCAAGAUGACUUUCAACAACUCUUUUGUCUUUAAACCUUCAAUAUUACCUCCUGCCCUUCCUCAAUCUCAGAUGUUAACUUCUUUCACUAAGAAAAUGGAAGCAAUCAGAAGAGAAAAACGUUAUUUUCACCACCAAAUCUACUAACAUUCCUAUUCUGUGUUUCCUACGGUUAAAAUGAUUGACCCCUCCCUGCCAUCUCAGAUCAAACUUCCCCUCGGGCGUUGGAUCCCAUCUUCUUUGCUUACUCAUCUAUUUGCAGUUAUCCCUUCAUAUUCUUGCACCAUUAAUUUCUCUCGCGCGUGCUCCCUCUCGAACCAUUCCCCACCAACGAACUUAGUGUUCUCUCCCAAAUCUCUAAAAAGCCUUCCCUAGAACCUAAAUUAUUUGAUGCUCCCCCUUAUGGCAAAAAUCUUCGACCAUCUUACCCCCUUUUCCUCGAACCCACCCCAAUCAAGCUUGCAUUCCCACCACCGAAACCAUCCCUGUCAACGUCAUCAGCGACCUCCACGUGGCUAAGUCCCAGUGGUCAAGCUGCAGUCCGCAUUUUACGUGACCUCUCAGCAGUAUUUGCUGUGGUUGAUCAUUGUCUUCUUGAAAGACUUUCUUCAUGUGCCUUUUUGGGCAUCACGCUGUCCUGGUUUUCCUUCUUCCACUCUGGCUACUCUUCAGUUUUAUUCAUCUCUUCCACUGGUGAGGACACUUGGUGAGGACACUUAACCCUGUUUUCCUUCAUAACCCUAGCCAAGCCUGACCCAUGGCAGACACUCCAUUGUUGAAUGGAUGCAUUGAAUGUUUACUAAUACGGGCUACAUAAAGGCCAGGAAAGCGGGGUGGGGCCAUAUUAUUUAGGGCUUGGAAAGCCAGUUGAAGAGGUUUGAACCUUUUUAGGCAGUUGAGAACCGUUGAGCACUACAGCACCGUGAGAGAUACUCUACUUCAGGUUCAUUACUCUAAUUCUGGGUUUUUGAAUGGCUCGAGGCAGAAAGUAUCAGAAGCAAAGAAAUUAGGAGGCUACUGCACUACGAUAGGCGAGAACUAAUGGUGACUUGUACUUGGGCGGUGGUAAUGGAAACAAAAGAUAACAUGGAGAGAUACUGUGGAGGCAGAGUCGAUGAGCUUGGUGACUAAGAGGAUGACAGAACAGAGUGUGACAUUCUCAUAAAGUAGGCGUCCAUAUUAAUUAUUCAACCCUUUUAUUCUUCAGCCUGGCAAAACGGUGGGUUUUUUUUUGUUGUUUGCUUUUCUUUUUUAGGUCCUAUAUAUAACUCCAGUUUGGGGAGGCUCUUCUUCAGCCUCUCGAUAGAAAUUUCCAGAACUAAUGGAGCACCCUGUUCUCUUCUGUGAAGCUGAGGCUAAUCUUUUGCCUUUAGGCUCUAAGGCCUCGUCAUGCUAUACCUUUUCUUUUUUUUUCACACAUAUCAAAAUUUUAUUUACUUCAACAAUGAAGAAAUGACAAAGUCGUUCAGUAAAGAUGUGAGAAACUGGGACUUAUUUCGUCAACAGGGAAAGAAAUGCUGAAGAAGGAUGCUAAGUUAGGUACAAAAGCAGUUAAUGUCCUACAGGGCAAUAAACUACAAGCUUUUGGGGUUAUCUUCUUUGGUAGACUAGAAAAAAUUCACUGUACCUUAAUUAGUCCUACCCAUUACCCUCUAACUUUUGAGAGUUGUAAAACUGGGUGCUAAUCGAACAAUAUUACAUUCCCCAAGAUAAUGUGGUGACUCUCAGGCUUUCUUAUUUGAAAAUGCUCUAGCAUGACAUUAAAAGAUCAUGUGGUCAUGUUUUUGCCUUUUUUCUAAAAUGUGCAUAAUUUUUCCUAAACAAUCCCCCCUGACCAUAAAUAAUCUCUAAAGAUUAUUGUUGAUCACAUACUAAAAAAGGCCAAUCUCCUGUUUUAGUGUCAAAAUCAUUCACUGAGCUUCUUGGUUAGUUGGCCAUUUUCCUCACUUCUUACUUCAUAGCGUCCUCUCAUACCGAGCAGCAGUGUCUUCCUACCCGCCCAUCACACCACCGUAAUUAUCAUCUUUGCCUACAAGAUCAUAAUUUCAGGCCCUAGUCUCCCUAAGUAACACUAGCAUAUAACUAGGGUUCAGUAACCUCUGAGAAGGUGUGACAGACAUUGCUAGCUGUCUUAUCCAGUAUUCAUUUUUUUUCUUUUCCGACAGGACCCAAAAUUAGAAUGGUAGUUCCAUUGUGACCAGGAACUCAUAUCCUUCUGUUAUUUUGCUGUUAUCCUCAUACAUACUUUUCUACCUGAUGGUCCAAGAUGGCUACCUUCAUCCAUGUUAUCUGCGUUCCAACCAGCAGGAAGGAGAAAAGGGAAGGCAAAGGGCACCUAACUUCCUCUGAUGACACUUCCCAGAAGUCGCAUACCACUUUUGUUCACUCUUGCUACCUAGAAAUUAAUUACAUGGCUCCUAGCUGCAAGAGGAGGCUAGGAAAUACAGUCUUUAGUCUGAGGGUCUGUGCGCCCAGCUAAAAAUUGGGGAUUCUGUUACUAUGGAAGGAGGCGUGACCAGCAGUCUCUACCACUAUGUGUAAAACUAUAUGGAGAAAAUUAUAACACUCCGUUGAUAUACAUUAAAGAAAACUCAAAUAGAGACAAAAACCAUGUUCACAUAUGGGAAGAUUCAUAUUAUAAAAAUGUCAGUUCUUCAGACUGAUGUAUAGAUUGAAUACAGUACCAAAUAAAGAACUGGAUAAGUUGAUUCUGAAACAUACGUGGAGAACCCAAGGGCCAAGACUAGCCGAGACACUCUUCAAUGAGGGGACUAGCAAUGCUGGACGUCAUGACUUUUUUUUUUCUCCUAAUGAAUCGCCAUUUUAACUCCCGUAUAACACUAAGAGGCAUAAAGAAUUUUCAACGAAACACUGUAAUAGCAAAAAACUGGAAACAAUCUAUAUGUCCAACAACAGAAUGAUUAAAUAAACUGAUACAGCCAUAUUACAGGAUAUAAUAGUUACGGUGAGAUUAUAUGUACUGAUAUGGAAAGUUCUCUGAAACAUGUUAAGUGCAAAGAAAAGAUGUAGAAUAAUACAAACUAUCUGAUACCAUUUACGUGUUUAAAAUUCCAUACGACUACAUAUUCCUACAUGUAAAUAUACACCCAUGUAAAUACACAGAAAAAAGUCUGGGAGAAUACAUAACCAAAAUGAAUCAGUGUUUACCUCUGGAGAGAAAGGACUAGGAUUUGGGAUAGGUCAAAGAAGAUUUUGGCCUUGUCUGUACGAACAUUUUAAUUUCUAUUAUUUACAAGUUUUAAUUAAGUAAAUGUAUUUAUAUAUUAUUUAUAAAAUCAAAGCAAAUCAAAAGCACCAUACCGCACCCCCAAAAUUACAGCUCUAGGUUUUAGUUGGUGUCCGUUUUCAUGAGUCAGUGGGGUGAUAGGAUGGGGAGUGAAGAAAGCGCAAGGUGGCCUAAGGCUCUCGGACAGCCCAGGUCCACAACCAAGCAGGUGAUGGUUUAUCUCUACUCGCAGGCCACAUCUGGACCAAACUUAGAGAGGCACAUGGACACAUGUGAGCUCACCCAGAAACAAGCCGGGUGACGCCAGGGGUCCACAGCACAUCAAGGAGCAAUAAUUGAAGGAAGGACUAGUGAAAUGAGAUAUAGAGUAAAGUGGUCCUCAAACACUUGAAGAGGUUUAAUGAGGGGGAAGAUAGUAAUAAUUCCAAGAUGUUGGAGUUAUUCAAGAAAAGACUAAAGGAUCACUCGCCAGGGAUGCUGUGGAAAAGAUUAAAUCGGGAGGAAUUAGUCAGAACUGGAUGAUCUUCAAGAUUCCAGCUAACCUUAAGAGUCCAUUAAAAAUCCCUUGGUCUCAGCCAGAUUUACCAAAACCCUAAAACUCUUUUCUUUUGAGUUGUUUUGUUAUGGAGAAGAUGUUAACCUUUCGAAGGUACUUUGGCGCACUACAGACUGGAAGAAAGUGUCAUCCCACGAGUACCAAUUAAAUGCCUCGGAGAAUACGAAGAUAACUGAAAUGCUUCACAAGUACCAACUGAGGGGACAUAAUAAAAAUUAAAGUUUAAUUUUGUCUCUC